rnacentral:rRNA from 1 species
UGGGGAAUUUUGGACAAUGGGCGAAAGCCUGAUCCAGCAAUGCCGCGUGUGUGAAGAAGGCCUUCGGGUUGUAAAGCACUUUUGUCCGGAAAGAAAUCCUUGGCUCUAAUACAGUCGGGGGAUGACGGUACCGGAAGAAUAAGCACCGGCUAACUACGUGCCAGCAGCCGCGGUAAUACGUAGGGUGCAAGCGUUAAUCGGAAUUACUGGGCGUAAAGCGUGCGCAGGCGGUUUGCUAAGACCGAUGUGAAAUCCCCGGGCUCAACCUGGGAACUGCAUUGGUGACUGGCAGGCUAGAGUAUGGCAGAGGGGGGUAGAAUUCCACGUGUAGCAGUGAAAUGCGUAGAGAUGUGGAGGAAUACCGAUGGCGAAGGCAGCCCCCUGGGCCAAUACUGACGCUCAUGCACGAAAAGCGUGGGGAGCAAACAGGAUUAGAUGCCCUGGUAGUCCACGCCCUAAACGAUGUCAACUAGUUGUUGGGGAUUCAUUUCCUUAGUAACGUAGCUAACGCGUGAAGUUGACCGCCUGGGGAGUACGGUCGCAAGAUUAAAACUCAAAGGAAUUGACGGGGUCAUAGCUGUUUCC